rnacentral:rRNA from 1 species
GGGCCCGCACAAGCGGUGGAGCAUGUGGUUUAAUUCGAUGCAACGCGAAGAACCUUACCUACUCUUGACAUCCAGAGAACUUAGCAGAGAUGCUUUGGUGCCUUCGGGAACUCUGAGACAGGUGCUGCAUGGCUGUCGUCAGCUCGUGUUGUGAAAUGUUGGGUUAAGUCCCGCAACGAGCGCAACCCUUAUCCUUGUUUGCCAGCGAGUAAUGUCGGGAACUCCAGGGAGACUGCCGGUGAUAAACCGGAGGAAGGUGGGGACGACGUCAAGUCAUCAUGGCCCUUACGAGUAGGGCUACACACGUGCUACAAUGGCGCAUACAGAGGGCAGCCAACUUGCAAAAGUGAGCGAAUCCCAAAAAGUGCGUCGUAGUCCGGAUUGGAGUCUGCAACUCGACUCCAUG